GGUUUGAAAACUGAGUUUUCCUGUAUACUGGAAGGCUGGUUUUCUGGAUACUCACAGGUUUUAUCAUGGUCAUUGAAAUUCAAUAUAAGAAGACAAAUCUGUCCUUGAUAUUAUUUACUCAUAGGUGCUUGUUUAAGGAAGUAGCUAUCAUGGAACAGCGUGAAAGUAUCAAUAGGCAUGUUGAUCACAGCAGAGGCAAUGCCACACAUACUUUUUUCUGCUGAAUGCAUACAAAUGCAGAACUCAUGACAUUCUCUGUUGCGCUAGCUGCUGUAUAAAAGAUUAAAGCUUGGAGCAGUUUGUUUAAUUAAUUCCAGUGUAGCAGAGUCCAUUGCUAGUAUGUGACCAAAGGCACUGAAACAAAGAGUGAUCUUCAGAACAUGUUAACUGCAGGAGAGCGGGGGCGACUUUCACAAAGGUCACGGAAAAGGGUCCGUCCCAGCUCAGUCGGUAAGUGAUCUCCCUGUAGGAGAGACCAAAUGCUGCUUUUACAUACAUGAGGAUCUUAUUUGCUCAUGAUGUGACAGUACAAAGGACAAUCAAAAUGAGUUAAUGUAUUCAUUCUUUUCUUCUUUCUCUUUCUUGAUGAGUCAUAAUUACUGAAAACUAAUAUAUUUUCCAACAUCAAAAUAUUUCAUUGGAUUAUCAAUAUUCUAGUGUACUCCUUACUCUUUCAUGUUCAGAAUGUGAAGGGGCUUGCUAGACUACAGCUUCCCAUAUUUCAUUAAGUAGUUUAUGCGUACAUGGUACUUUUCAGGAAAAUUAAAUAGCUAAUCUCAAAACCGAUAUUGUCAGGGUGCAGUGUAUAUGAAAUGGUAUGUUACACUGUCUUACCUUGUCAUUAUUUUCCCCUAAUGAAAAUCUAAAAAACCCCCAAAACCUAAAAUCAUUAAAUGAUUAUUUAAUAAUUUUACCAACAAAUAUUCUCACAUAUUGUGUUGUUUGUUGUUUUGUUUUGUUUUUUUCCUUACAAUCAGAAAAUACUGCCUACAAAAACCCUGUUGUUCCUUUUAUCUCUGCACAGGGUUACCUGAAAUGAUCUCAGUAUUUCCAUACAAGCGGUAAAAAGCUGCUCUUUCUAGUGUCAGACUUCCUUUCUAGUCCAGCAGAUUACCAUAGCACUGAGAGAACACUGACCUGCAUUUUGCAGCAGCACCCUUGGUACAGCAGUACUGACUAUUGGCUGGUACUGCAGGCAAGAUGCACAGCCUGUCAGCUCCUCACAACCUGCUAGAAGCUAGAGUGUGGAAAUAGGGACACCAGCUGCAUGUUCCUACUGGAUUUUGGCUCUUCUCCAGACAGGUACCCUGACCUCUGCUGUGGAGCCAGUCCAGCUGGCUUACUUCAUGUAAAGUUCAAAGUCUGCAUCAGAAAGACAUAGGCAGGCCACAGACUGAGUCUAAAACAUGGUUUUGGGCAUUGUCCUACAAGGUGGUGGAAGAAAUCUGCUCCACUGCAUUUAGGCAGAAAAGAAGGCUGAGUCCAGCACAUCACACACUGUGUGCAAGGACUCUAACUCUGGGUAUAAAAAUCCUUCCCUUCUGGGUGGUGAUAAAAAAGGCUCACAAAAUGCUCAGCUUCGCUGGUCCAGACUAAGGAGGCUGGGAAAGCCUGCUUUUCAAAUCUCAAUGGUGUUUAGUUAUGGCUUAGAUUGAGCUGAACCUUAGACACAUCUGCUCAAUAAUAAAAAGCAAAGGCACAUGGGCAUUCUUGAGAGCCCGGGAAGCAGUUUGUGGUCCCUGGAUAAGUGAGUGCAGAUUUGUCUGUGGCCACACAACUGUGGACUAGCUCCCUCUUCAGCACACUGGCCUGGGCCUGUGCCCCAUGUAUUGCCGUGGGAGCCUUAAAUCCAAAAAUUAUUUUUCAGAUGCUUUUUACAGCUGUGUCGUUCAGCUCUGCUGAGCAUGUGCAAUUGAGGAGACUAAGAGGAAAACUGCAAGUUGCCAGCAUAGUGAUCUUCAAAGAAGGCCACUUGCAUUGCUAAGGGAUGUGCUCGAUUAGUCUCUCUCUGGACUAAAGGCCCAGGGCAGCCAUGGGGCAAGGUGGUAUUUGCACAAAGAAGAGGAGACACAUUAGAGCAGGAAAUACAAUGGCAUUCAUGCCAAGACAACAAGUAGCCUUGGCUGAAAACUGCAGAGUGUGGUUAAGAUACCCUCCUGUCUAGACUGGGCUUCAAGGUGACCAGAGGAGUAGUAAACCUGGAGCCUCACUAAUGGCAGUGAAAGAAAAGUGGAAGAACUGAAAAAGUCUUUCUCAGCUCGGGUGUGAGGUGUUGCAUGGAUAAGGAGAGGCCUGGGGGACAGGCACCUAGGGACAGCAUUUGAGACCCAAGGCAGGGUAAGUGCAUGAGUUACAGGGACACCCAAGCACGCCACACGUCUGUGGCACACGCUGUAAUGUGCUAACCCCUGUAAACAGUGGUAUCUGCAGUUAAAAAUUAAAGUGAAGGGUGUUUAGCCUUCCCAUGUA